rnacentral:lncRNA from 1 species
GUGAGAAGGGAGGGGCCCCUUCCAGGGCCUCCCCUACCCCGGCCCCGGCCCGCCCCUCGCCCUCGGGGUGGAAGAAUCGGGAGGGCUGGAGUUGGCGGGAGGAGCUUUUCGGCCCCUUUCCCUCUCCUGGUUCGCACGGACUCCCCCUGUUCCCUGGUGAUUUUCAGUGUGAAGUUCGAGUCGGUAAAGAUCGUCCUUGGGGUCUCAUUUAGAGGAGGGGGGACAACCCAGAUGCUGCGAGCCGCUGAGUAGGUGGAGAUGGCUGGAAGACUGUUUCGAGAAGAGAGGGAAAUUGCAAAGCCCACCUGCAGCCAGCUUGGCAGCAUAAUUUUAUAGGACUCAAGAAUCAACGCUGGAUUAUUUCCUAAGACUGAACCUUGAAAGCCCACUUGCAGGCUGCACAGCCAUCUGCACCCUUGAACAUGAAAAAUGCUCUUCUUCCAUCAGGGAGAGCUCCUUCUUCAGCUACAUCAUCAGAAAUGGUCAGAAGACGGGACCCCUACCCGACCAAAGUCAUCCAGACAAAUGAAAUUGGUCUUUUUCAGCAAGGAAUGGAGCCGUAUGAAGGUGGCCAGGUUGCCAUCUUCUGCUCUCACCACCAUGGAGCAGCCACCUCUGGGACUGACACCCUCGUGGCACCCACUGCCAUGCCCUAUUCAGGAGACCUGGCUGAGGCAGCUAAUGGGAGCUGAAAUCCUACCCAGGCUCCACUAACCAAGCAGAGUUUAUUGCUGCAUGGCCAUGUCUACCCAGACGAUGUGGCUCCUUUUUCUAAUUUGCACCAAGGCACCUUGUAUGGACUGGAAGCAGCUCUGACCGUCCUCCUCUCACAUCCCCCGUUCCUAUCCAGGAUUAUAUUCCUUACCUUGGAUGGAUUAAAGAUUCUCACGAAAAAAUUAGGUUUAUUGUAAAACCUAUUGAAAUAUUGUUGAAUAGAUUAUUGAAGUAUUUGAUCCAAAUUGAAAUUAAUUUCAUAGGUAAAGCUCCAAAUAUUACCAUGGAUAUGAAUUAUGUGUGUAUAUCUUUAUAUCUGUAUGCGUAUAUAGUUGUGUGGAUACACAUUUCUAUGUAUCUGAAGUUAGCACAACUUCAAUUUGGUAAAUAUUUAAAAUAAAACCAUUUUGGGCAUUGGAAUCAGUUUUAUAUAUGGAUUUCUGGCCUUCACAGAAAUAUGUACUAUUUAAUUCCAUUUCAACAAAUAUAUAUAAAGUGUUAGGCACUGUGCUAAGCAAUAUGUAUACAGUAAUGAAAAAUAAUGCAAACACCUUGCCUCUAGGUAGUAUAGUCUAGUAAGGAAGACAGAUGAUAAGGUCACAAAUAAACUUAUGGUUAUAAAUUGUGGUAAGGGCUAUGAAAGAAAUGCCAAGAUGGAGAAUGACAAGGCACAUAGAUUUCAGAUUAAGUGACUAGAAAAAAACCUCCCUGUGAAAAUGGUAUUUCAGUUGAGACCUGAGGAUGAGUUAGAAGGAGUUUAUGAAGUAGCUGGACCCUGUCGUUUAAUAUAUAGAAGCAUCUGAAUUCAAAAUAGAGUAUGAUACAUUUAAGGGAAAGCACAGAAGAAAGUAGAUAACUGAGAAAGGAGAGACUACAGACCAAAUUCGUAGUGUCAUUUGUAGACUCCAGGUCACUAUUGAAGUUAUGCUCAUGUAUUGUCAUUUCCUUUUGCGAGUAUCCAUUAAAAUUUGUCUCUUUCUUUAAAUCCUGGCUUUUCACUCAACUUCUAGGAAUUAUUUUAGUUCAAACAACUUUUCAGCCAUUGUGUCUCAUCUAAUCGGCACUUAUGUAUACAUUUUCUUUUGCACAUUGUUGAUAACUGUCAGAUUUUUUUUCAUACUUGGGAGUUGGAUAGCCAUGAGAUUGUAGCUCCCUGAGGGCAGGAGUUACAUUUCCUUCUUUCAGCAAAGAGUCUAGUUCAGUCUCAUGGCGCAGUGACCAACCUCUAAAUAAAUGCUGCUGAUUGGCCA